GACGAACGCUGGCGGCGUGCUUAACACAUGCAAGUCGAACGGAAAGGCCCUGCUUUUGUGGGGUGCUCGAGUGGCGAACGGGUGAGUAACACGUGAGUAACCUGCCCUUGACUUUGGGAUAACUUCAGGAAACUGGGGCUAAUACCGGAUAGGAGCUCCUGCUGCAUGGUGGGGGUUGGAAAGUUUCGGCGGUUGGGGAUGGACUCGCGGCUUAUCAGCUUGUUGGUGGGGUAGUGGCUUACCAAGGCUUUGACGGGUAGCCGGCCUGAGAGGGUGACCGGCCACCUUGGGACUGAGAUACGGCCCAGCCUCCUACGGGAGGCAGCAGUGGGGAAUAUUGCACGAUGGGCGGAAGCCUGAUGCAGCAACGCCGCGUGCGGGAUGACGGCCUUCGGGUUGUAAACCGCUUUCGCCUGUGACGAAGCGUGAGUGACGGUAAUGGGUAAAGAAGCACCGGCUAACUACGUG
rnacentral:rRNA from 1 species